CGMACGAACCAAACGGGGUUAGUGGCGGACGGGUGAGUAACGCGUAGGAACCUAUCUKGAGGUGGGGGAUAACAUCGGGUAAUUGGUGCUAAUACCGCAUGAUGCCUGAGGGCCAAAGGAGAGAUCCGCCAUUGGAGGGGCCUGCGUUCGAUUAGCUAGUUGGUUGGGUAAAGGCUGACCAAGGCGAUGAUCGAUAGCUGGUUUGAGAGGAUGAUCAGCCACACUGGGACUGAGACACGGCCCAGACUCCUACGGGAGGCAGCAGUGGGGAAUAUUGGACAAUGGGGGCAACCCUGAUCCAGCAAUGCCGCGUGUGUGAAGAAGGUCUUCGGAUUGUAAAGCACUUUCACUAGGGAAGAUGAUGACGGUACCUAGAGAAGAAGCCCCGGCUAACUUCGUGCCAGCAGCCGCGGUAAUACGAAGGGGGCUAGCGUUGCUCGGAAUGACUGGGCGUAAAGGGCGCGUAGGCUGUUUGUACAGUCAGAUGUGAAAUCCCCGGGCUUAACCUGGGAACUUCAUUUGAUACGUGCAGACUAGAGUCCGAGAGAGGGUUGUGGAAUUCCCAGUGUAGAGGKGAAAUUCGUAGAUAUUGGGAAGAACACCSGUUGCGAAGGCGGGCAACCUUGG
rnacentral:rRNA from 1 species